rnacentral:rRNA from 1 species
AGAGAUGUGUGAUGACGCAUAUCAAUAAGCGGAGGAAAAGAAACUAACAAGGAUUCCCUUAGUAACGGCGAGUGAAGCGGGAAGAGCUCAAAUUUGAAAUCUUCAAGGUUCUACCUUGACGAAUUGUAGUUUAUAGAAGUGUUUUCUGUUAGUAGAGUGGCAAAAGUUCUUUGGAAUAGGACAUCAUAGAGGGUGAGAAUCCCGUAUUUGGUCAUUCCUCCUAGCGUUGUGAUACACUUUCAACGAGUCGGAUUGUUUGGGAAUGCAGUCCAAAAUGGGUGGUAAAUUUCAUCUAAAGCUAAAUACUGGCGAGAGACCGAUAGCGAACAAGUACCGCUGAGGGAAAGAUGAAAAGAACUUUGAAAAGAGAGUUAAACAGUACGUGAAAUUGUCAAAAGGGAAGCGUUUGACACCAGUGUUGUUUUUCCGAAAAUCAAUUACGAAUGUUUUGUUUUUAGAGAGAGUUAUGACUUCAUCGGCUUGCUUCCUUCUUUACUGAAACUUUCUUAAUGCACUUUUCGGUUAACAAGUCAACAUCAAUUUCUUUUGUUGUAAAAGGGUAUGAGGAAGGUGGCUUUCUUUUCGGAGAAAGUGUUUAUAGCCUUGUGCCUCUACAAUCGGAGAGAUUGAGGUCUGCAGCGUAGAUCCUUCGGGGUUAGAUACGUUUGUGCUAAGUUAUAGCUUUUCAUAGACAACUUGUUGACUAUGUUUAGUCUUGUAGCUUACUCGCUUAUGCUAUUUUACCUACGCUUAGGAUGUUGAGUAGCGACAUACGCA